rnacentral:rRNA from 1 species
UACGUAGGGUCCGAGCGUUGUCCGGAAUUACUGGGCGUAAAGAGCUCGUAGGUGGUUUGUCGCGUUGUUCGUGAAAACUCACAGCUCAACUGUGGGCGUGCGGGCGAUACUGGCAGACUUGAGUACUGCAGGGGAGACUGGAAUUCCUGGUGUAGCGGUGAAAUGCGCAGAUAUCAGGAGGAACACCGAUGGCGAAGGCAGGUCUCUGGGCAUUAACUGACGCUGAGGAGCGAAAGCAUGGGGAGCGAACAGG